UAGAGCGGCGGACGGGUGAGUAACACGUGGACAAUCUGCCCCCCGGCCCGGGAUAGCCCAGGGAAACCUGGAUUAAUACCGGAUGAGACGGGACCCGCGAUGGCGGGACCCGGGAAAGGCGCUGCGGCGCCGCCGGGGGAUGAGUCUGCGUCCCAUUAGCUAGACGGCGGGGUAACGGCCCACCGUGGCGACGAUGGGUAGCCGGCCUGAGAGGGUGGACGGCCACAUUGGAACUGAGACACGGUCCAGACUCCUACGGGAGGCAGCAGCUAAGAAUCUUCCGCAAUGGGCGAAAGCCUGACGGGAAGCGACGCCGCGUGAACGAAGAAGGCCGUGAGGUUGUAAAGUUCUUUUCGGGAGGGGGAACAACCGUGGCAGGGAAUGGCCGCGGGAUGACGUGAAUCCCGGAAUAAGCCCCGGCUAACUACGUGCCAGCCGCCGC
rnacentral:rRNA from 1 species